CAAAAAAAAAUUUAAUUAGCUCCUUUAUUAUUUUUUAGUCCAACUUUUUUUCAUAAUUUCAUCAAACUAUUAUCUAGCACAUAUAAUUUUUCCAUAUUUUUUAAAACUCAUUUUUCAUUUAACUCAUAUUUUCUUUUAUUUCCCAUUUAAUUUUUAUUUAUCAUUUUUAUUUUAAUCAUUUUAAAACAUUUUUCACGCCAACUUUUG
rnacentral:lncRNA from 1 species